rnacentral:rRNA from 2 species
GAUUAAGCCAUGCAUGUGUAAGUGUAAAUGUUUAAGUUUGGAACUGCGAAUGGCUCAUUAUAUCAGUUAUAGUUUAUUUGGUGAAGUGUACUACUUGGAUAACCGUAGUAAUUCUAGGGCUAAUACAUGAGAAAGUCCUCUGGUGAGGUGUGUUUAUUAGAAUGAAAACCAUAUGCUUCGGCAUGAUAGUGAGUAAUAGUAACCUAUCGUAUCGCAUGCUUAAUGUAGCGAUGAGUCUUUCAAGUUUCUGCCCUAUCAGCUUUCGAUGGUAGUAUAUGGGCCUACCAUG